AUUGAACGCUGGCGGCAUGCUUUACACAUGCAAGUCGAACGGUAACAGGCCGCAAGGUGCUGACGAGUGGCGAACGGGUGAGUAAUGCAUCGGAACGUGCCCAGUCGUGGGGGAUAACGCAGCGAAAGCUGUGCUAAUACCGCAUACGAUCUAUGGAUGAAAGCGGGGGACCGUAAGGCCUCGCGCGAUUGGAGCGGCCGAUGUCAGAUUAGGUAGUUGGGGGGGUAAAGGCCCACCAAGCCAACGAUCUGUAGCUGGUCUGAGAGGACGACCAGCCACACUGGGACUGAGACACGGCCCAGACUCCUACGGGAGGCAGCAGUGGGGAAUUUUGGACAAUGGGCGCAAGCCUGAUCCAGCAAUGCCGCGUGCAGGAAGAAGGCCUUCGGGUUGUAAACUGCUUUUGUACGGAACGAAACGGUCUGGGUUAAUACCCUGGGCUAAUGACGGUACCGUAAGAAUAAGCACCGGCUAACUACGUGCCAGCCGCCGCAGUAA
rnacentral:rRNA from 1 species